rnacentral:rRNA from 1 species
AAGUCUGGUGCCAGCAGCCGCGGUAAUUCCAGCUCCAAUAGCGUACGUUAAAGUUGCUGCAGUUAAAAGCUCGUAGUUGAACGUUCGGGUUCCGCGGGACGGGGCCGCCCCGCGAGGGACGGCGCCGCCCCGGGGCUCGUGAUAUCUUAUCUCGCCGCCCGUCGCGAGGCGGACGGAGGGAUGGAUGAGGUUACCUGGAAAAAUCGGGGCGAUCUAGGCGGGCGAACCUCGCCAACGAACGAUCGGACAUGGGAUAACGGAAGAGGGCGUCGGCUCGACUUCGUCGGUUCCUCGGGCCGAGGCACGUACGGUGAAUAGGGACGGUCGGGGCCGCCCGUACCGGGUCGUGAGAGGUGAAAUUCUAGGAUCGACCCGAGACGAACUGCCGCGAAAGCAUUCGGCAAGGACGCUUUCAUUAAUCAAGAACGAAAGUCGGGG